rnacentral:rRNA from 1 species
GACGAACGCUGGCGGCGUGCCUAAUACAUGCAAGUCGAACGCACAGUUUAUACCGUAGCUUGCUACACCAUACACUGUGAGUUGCGAACGGGUGAGUAACGCGUAGGUAACCUGCCUGGUAGCGGGGGAUAACUAUUGGAAAUGAUAGCUAAUACCGCAUAAUAUUGAUUAUUGCAUGAUAAUUGAUUGAAAGAUGCUAUUGCAUCACUACCAGAUGGACUUGCGUUGUAUUAGCUAGUAGGUGAGGUAACGGCUCACCUAGGCGACGAUACAUAGCCGACCUGAGAGGGUGAGCAGCCACACUGGGACUGUGACACGGCCCAGACGCCUACGGGAGGCAGCAGUAGUGAAUCGUCAGCAAUGGACGAAAGUCUGACCGAGCAACGCCGCGUGAUUGAGGAAGGAUGUCGGGUCGUAAAGCUCGGUUGUAAGAGAAUAACGGGUGUGAGAGUGGAAAGUUCACACUGUGACGGUAACUUACCAGAAAGGAACGGCUAACUACGUG